ACAGCCCAGCUCAGUCUCCCAUGAUUUAAGAAACAGAGAAGAUGCCGACUGCCCUUCAGCCAUGAGAUGAGAACGGUAGGCGAUGUCUUCAAGGUGACUGAAGAGGACUUUACCGCAAAACAGAUUUCUCCAUCAUGUUCAACACAUUCUCUGCUACAUUCAGAAGAAAUCCCUAUGUAUAGACAAAGAUGUGAAGAAUAACAUUCAGGCUUCCUGCCAUCACAAGGGGUAGCUCCCGGCAUAACUUUUAUUCUGUAAUUAUUCCAAUAUGACACAAGGACAAAAUAAA